rnacentral:sRNA from 1 species
CGUAUUGACUGGCUACCUCGAAUCACUUGCGCCCACAUGUUUAUCUUAUCUAAGAACACAGCGAUGACAACCAACGCCCCGCGGCAUCCAAAUGACUAGGAAUCGAGACUACUUCAUCUUGAGAGUUCUUCAACCAUAACUUUGCGAUUGUUUGUAAUCUUAGGAGAAGGAUACUCUAAAUAUAGACUAAAGGGAAAUCAAUUUUCUCUUAAAGAGGACAGGAAUUUGACGAUGCGAGCAGUAAUAAUAACGUUUGAAUCUGUACAGUAAUUACAAGAAAGACUGUGGCGAGGAUGCUUACACGACAUAGACCUUCACCGCCAUUGGGAACCCUCCGGAGCUCCUGGGGCUGGAGAUCUGGGGAGGGGAUGAGCAGAGGAGGGAAAGAAAGGCGUGUAUACUGAACUGGAGUUCCUGGCCUUCUCUCCCUAUUUAUAGGCGAGGCUGUUGUUUUUGUUUGACCUUCAGUUAUUGAAACUGGAUUCCCUCUCUCUCCUUUUUCCUUUUCUUUUUCUUUUUUUCUUUUUUCUUUUUUUCCCCUCUUUUCAUACAGAAAUUCCCCUACUUGUUUUUUUUCUAUGCCAGUGGUCAACAGUAUUGGUUGGUCUCUUAUGUCAAAAAUAU